rnacentral:lncRNA from 1 species
CGUUUUUCAACUAUCCCAGAAUGCAGAUUGACACAACGCACAUAAGACAUUCACACUCCUCUAUCGGUCUCUUUCCACUAGCUCCUCGACGUAACCAGGUACCCCACUAUUCAUAUCUCUAUGUUUCCCAUUUCUCAAGCCUUCUGUAGCUAACAAAUGGGUUUUUAUAUAAACUCAAGGGUGAAACUAGAAAAUUGUUUUAG